rnacentral:lncRNA from 1 species
GGUUAACCUGCUUUUGUGGAGAGAAGAGACCACAGCUGCUUGCCCUGGGUUCCUCUCCGAGGGAGUGAAGCUUUCCCAGGCUGAAGUAAAUCAUCGCAGCUCCCAGGCAAGGCACUGGUUCACAGUUCAUGCUAUUCACCUUUGGGUGGGAACAAAGAAGAAAAAGAAACAUCUAGCAGCAGCAGGAAGAAGCAGGACCCCACCAAGAUCUUGCAAUCUGGACUGCAGGGCUUUUUAUGACCUCCAGUAGAAGCCUAUUUUAGGAUAGGCAGUGAAUGAAGCAUAAUGUCAAGACACCAUCAUUGGAAAUAAGCCUGAAGCUGUGUAACGAGGCCUGCUGAGACUGGUCUUUGGGGUUAGAAAAAUGCCUGCUGCCUGCAGAAUCACAGAAAACAUGUAUUUGAAAUUUCCAGUUCUUCUGAUGACAUCAGUCUUUCCAUCAAUGCAACAAAGGAACUGCAUUUUGUAUCUGGAAAGAGAUUCUUACCAGGUACUACUUAGAAAACAUGCUGUAAAGGCUCUUUCUCAAGGAGGAGUAUUUGUUGUGACUGAUGGGUCAUGCUUCACUAGGUAUCCUGACCAUGAUAGUUCCUCUGAGACAUUAUUGAAUUACAAGGUCUGA